GCGGCGCCCAAUCAGCGCGCGGCUUCCAUUUUGUGAGUUCAACUCCGAGGCUCCCGGGCUUCGCGAGGACGCAUUUGCAGCCCCCUCUGCCUGUCCUCUCGGGCGGCCGAGGCGAAGGAGCCGCCUUUCUGGGGCUUCGUGGUGGUGUAUUUCAUAUUGGGGCUCUUUUCGGGGUUUGUAAUUUGGCCGUGGGUAGGUAAUUGGCUGGAGCAGGGCGGCAGGGCGCGGCAGCCAAUCAGCGCGCGGCUUCUAUAGGGCUUGAGUUAUUAGACGCUGAUCUCAAAACAUCGUUCAUCAGACACCAAGGAGAGGCCAACAGAUGAGGGGAGCCAUUUUUCUGCAAUGGAAUUAAAUGGCCAAAGCAGUAAACAGUCCUCAGCGAAGCCGCCUUUUGCCAACCCAACCCUGGAAAGUUUGCAGAAGUGGAAGGAGCAGAAAAUGCCAUGAGAGUGUAACUUACAAAAAGGCUCUUGGCUGGAGAAAGGGCGACGGCCAGGUAUCCCCAGAGUGAACCAUCCUCCUUUGGACAGCAGGAUCAGGCCUAAUUUCACUCUGACAAUACUCUAAGAUGUGUGGGACUGUUGUGUGUGAAACCGGCUGCCUGCUGGGCCUGCUUGGUCCAUCCAUCCCCGCCUGUCAGCUUCUGUUGUCAAGAGUUUGGGGCGUGCAAUUCUCUGCAGUGUUGAGCAGCAUAGGAGAGGCUGAACUUGCAAGUAUUUCCCAGUUGUGUGUUUUGGGGUGGGUGGGGUAGGGCCAUGGAUGCCUCUUCUGAAAGGUAGUCUGUUGCCAGGAAGCUCAGCCCUGCUCUGGCCCUCCCUUCCGGCCCUAGUGGGGGCGUGUGGGGUGACCGUGAGCUGGUCUCUUCCCCUCUGAUGUCUGGCUGCUACAGAGGUGAACACAAGUACCUGAGAUCUGGGCCAGCUUCCUCCGAGAAAGAGGCUUCUGGACUCUUCUCCCCCUUCUUGGGAAUUCCCACGAUUUUCUGCACCCCCCCAGCCCCCCCCCCCCCAAGAGUCCUGGUUCUAAAAUGAGACAAACUGGGAUUUGAAACCUGGCUAGCCAUUUAUGUGCUGUGACUUUUCAUGAGCUGCUGAGUCUCUGAGCCCAUUUCCCCAUCUGCACAAUGGGGCUGGGUCACUGAUCCCUAGUCUAGAGUGUGCACCGGAGUCAUACAGGUGGCUCAUUAGAACAUACUGCUGGGGCCCAGUCCUCAAGUUUCUGAUUCGGUAGGUGGGGCCCGAGACCUUGCAUUUCUACCAAGUUCCCAGGUGAUGCCGAUGCUGCAAUCUGAGGAUAUGUUUUGAGAGCCUUUGGGUGAGAGACUAAGAGAAAAAUUACCAGGGGUACCCAAAACCGCAAAGAAAAGACCCCCCCCCCCCCCCGUACCGGAACCAGCCAGGGCAUGCCCGGUUGUGGUUUGACCUAAAGGCGGGAACCAGUCAAGUUUUGCUGAGUGGUCAAAUUUAAAUAUCAACCAAUAACAGCUCUGUAACCGUGGAAGAUCCCUAACUUCCCCAUAACUUGUUUGUGCCUGUCUAUAAAAAGGCUGUAAAAACCUCACUCGGGCACUCUUAGCGUCACUGACAACGAGUGCGCGGAGGUCUGGGUUCGAACCUGCAAUAAACGGCCCUUGCCGCUUGGCUUUGACUCUGGACUCUGGUGGUUUGUUCUUGAGGGUCACCCGAAUUUGGGCAUAUCAUUUGGGGGCUCAUCUGGGAUACCCCCAAGCCCUCCAGACCCCAAGUCAACGGGUCGUCCCUGAAGCUGAUCGGGAUGUUAGAACCAGAGGACAGAAUUUGAGUCUAGACAUCCGGAGGGGAAAAUUAAUAACCCUCUGCCACUCCGAAUGGCCAACCGAAGGAACUUUCUGCCUCCCUAUAAUUGCUAAGGUGAAGUCAAAGAUUUUUCUACCGGGUCGCAAGGGACACCCGGAUCAGAUUCCCUUACGUUCUAGUAUGGCAAGAUUUGGUGGAAAAUCCACCCCCUUGGUUGGCCCCCUUCCUGUCCUCAGGAACGUGGAAGGUCCUUGCCAUGCGGACUGCAGAUCCCCCAAAACCAAAGAUGCCAUCCGCGCCCUUGUAUCCCAUAUUGCCUGAUAGUCAGGACCUACUAUCCCUAGACCCUCCACCCUAUCAUCCCCCUCCCCUCGUACCCCAGGCCCUACCAGCACCAGCCGCCCUGCUAGUUGCCCCCCUAGGGGAACCGGGAGGACGGGAAGCGGCAGCCGCGCCGGAACCAGGAGGACGGGAGGCUAUAGCUGCACCGGGCCCCAUUGAAAACGAAACUGACCUCAAGGGGCCAGCCGGCUGAAGCCGCGGGCGCACUCAGCGUGAGCCAAACCCUCGCCUCCCCGACUCCACUGUGGCCCUACCCCUGCGGGAAAUAGGACCCCCAGAUGAAACAGGCAACCCCCGACUCCAGUAUUGGCCCUUUUCCACCAGUGACCUUUACAACUGGAAAACACAGAACUCUCGAUUCUCUGAUAACCCUAAAGACC